UGUCGUGAGGAUUAUUGAGAUUUUCUGCUAAAACAGAGAUGUCCAAGCCACUCAGCCUGUUGGCACUGAAGAUUGCUUCAUUCUCCAGUCAGACCAGUACAUGAACCUAAAAGAGAUGGAUGCAAGGAGACAGUGAAUUGGACCCCAGGCAGCUGCCAUGCAGAGAUUUACCUGAACCAGCUCUUUGAAGCACCUCAGCAGUCCUAUGUAAGCCCUUACAGAGGCCCUUAUCUUUAAACAUGUAAGUAAAUCCGUUAGGAUCCAAUUUAUGGCACAUGUGAUGCACAUGAGUUUUGUGGGAGGCAGAAAGACAACUGGAAUUCCGUCUGAAAAGCACAAACAUUUC